rnacentral:sRNA from 1 species
GGACCAGAAGUCCCUGUUCCUCCCUCAGAGACUAGAACUUUCCAAGGAAUAGGAGAUUAUCCCAAGUGCCUGUGUCCAGGCUGGUGUCUGGGUUCUGUGCUCCCUUCCCCACCCCAGGUGUCCUGUCCAUUCUCAGGGUGGUCACAUGUAUGCUGGUGGAGUGUCCCGUGAGGAGUGCAAAGCGCCUGAAUUUUCUGACUCUUCCCAUCAGAGCCCCCAAGGACACACAUGACCCACCAUCCCAUCUCUGACCAUGAGACUACCCUGAGGUGCUGGGCCCUGGGCUUCUACCCUGCGGAGAUCACACUGACCUGGCAGCGGGAUAGGGAGGACCUGACCCAGGACACCGAGCUUGUGGAGACCAGGCCAGCAGGCGAUGGAACCUUCCAGAAGUGGGCAGCUGUGGUGGUGCCUUCUGGAGAAGAGCAGAGAUACACAUGCCAUGUGCAACACGAGGGGCUGCCGGAGCCCCUCACCCUGAGAUGGGAGCCAUCUUCCCAGUCCACCAUCCCCAUCGUGGGCAUUGUUGCUGGCCUGGCUGUCCUAGCAGUUGUGGUCAUCGGAAUUGUGGUCGCUGCUGUGAUGUGUA